rnacentral:rRNA from 1 species
AGAGUUUGAUCCUGGCUCAGAACGAACGCUGGCGGCGCGCCUAAUACAUGCAAGUCGAGCGAGAAGGUGUAGCAAUACACUUGUAAAGCGGCGAACGGGUGAGGAAUGCAUGGGUAACCUACCCUCGAGUGGGGAAUAACUAGCCGAAAGGUUAGCUAAUACCGCAUACGUUUCCGGGACUUCGGUUCCGGAAAGAAAGCAAUACCGUGGGUAUUGCGCUCAUGGAUGGGCCCAUGUCCUAUCAGCUUGUUGGUGAGGUAACGGCUCACCAAGGCUUCGACGGGUAGCUGGUCUGAGAGGACGAUCAGCCACACUGGCACUGCGACACGGGCCAGACUCCUACGGGAGGCAGCAGUAAGGAAUAUUGCGCAAUGGACGAAAGUCUGACGCAGCGACGCCGCGUGGGGGAUGAAGGUCUUCGGAUUGUAAACCCCUUUCGGGAGGGAAGAUGGAGUGGGUAACCACUUGGACGGUACCUCCAGAAGCAGCCACGGCUAACUUCGUGCCAGCAGCCGCGGUAAUACGAAGGUGGCAAGCGUUGUUCGGAUUCACUGGGCGUACAGGGAGCGUAGGCGGUUGGGUAAGCCCUCCGUGAAAUCUCCGGGCCUAACCCGGAAAGUGCAGAGGGGACUGCUCAGCUAGAGGAUGGGAGAGGAGCGCGGAAUUCCCGGUGUAGCGGUGAAAUGCGUAGAGAUCGGGAGGAAGGCCGGUGGCGAAGGCGGCGCUCUGGAACAUUUCUGACGCUGAGGCUCGAAAGCGUGGGGAGCAAACAGGAUUAGAUACCCUGGUAGUCCAA